GGCUCCUACGGGAGGCAGCAGUGAGGAAUAUUGGUCAAUGGGAGAGAUCCUGAACCAGCCAAGCCGCGUGAGGGAAGACGGCCCUAUGGGUUGUAAACCUCUUUUGUCGGAGAACAAAACCCGGGACGUGUCCCGGACUGCGUGUAUCCGAAGAAAAAGCAUCGGCUAACUCCGUGCCAGCAGCCGCGGUAAUACGUAGGGGGCAAGCGUUAUCCGGAUUUACUGGGUGUAAAGGGAGCGUAGACGGCAGGGCAAGUCUGGAGUGAAAGGCAGGGGCCCAACCCCUGGACUGCUCUGGAAACUGC
rnacentral:rRNA from 1 species